UACGUAGGUGGCAAGCGUUAUCCGGAAUUAUUGGGCGUAAAGCGCGCGUAGGCGGUUUUUUAAGUCUGAUGUGAAAGCCCACGGCUCAACCGUGGAGGGUCAUUGGAAACUGAAAAACUUGAGUGCAGAAGAGGAAAGUGGAAUUCCAUGUGUAGCGGUGAAAUGCGCAGAGAUAUGGAGGAACACCAGUGGCGAAGGCGACUUUCUGGUCUGUAACUGACGCUGAUGUGCGAAAGCGUGGGGAUCAAACAGGAUUAGAUACCCUGGUAGUCCACGCCGUAAACGAUGAGUGCUAAGUGUUAGGGGGUUUCCGCCCCUUAGUGCUGUAGCUAACGCAUUAAGCACUCCGCCUGGGGAGUACGGCCGCAAGGCUUAAACUCAAAGGAAUUGACGGGGACCCGCACAAGCGGUGGAGCAUGUGGUUUAAUUCGAAGCAACGCGAAGAACCUUACCAAAUCUUGACAUCCUUUGACCGCUCUAGAGAUAGAGUUUUCCCCUUCGGGGGACAAAGUGACAGGUGGUGCAUGGUUGUCGUCAGCUCGUGUCGUGAGAUGUUGGGUUAAGUCCCGCAACGAGCGCAACCCUUAAGCUUAGUUGCCAUCAUUCAGUUGGGCACUCUAAGUAGACUGCCGGUGACAAACCGGAGGAAGGUGGGGAUGACGUCAAAUCAUCAUGCCCCUUAUGAUUUGGGCUACACACGUGCUACAAUGGACAAUACAAAGGGCAGCGAAACCGCGAGGUCAAGCAAAUCCCAUAAAGUUGUUCUCAGUUCGGAUUGUAGUCUGCAACUCGACUACAUGAAGCUGGAAUCGCUAGUAAUCGUAGAUCAGCAUGCUACGGUGAAUACGUUCCCGG
rnacentral:rRNA from 1 species